rnacentral:rRNA from 1 species
GUGCCAGCCGCCGCGGUAAUACCGGCAGCACAAGUGAUGGCCAAUCUUAUUGGGCCUAAAGCGUCCGUAGCUGGCCGAGCAGGUCCGUCGGGAAAUCCACCCGCCCAACGGGUGGGCGUCCGGUAGAAACUGGCCGGCUUGGAACCGGAAGGCUCAGAGAGUACGUCCGGGGUAGGAGUGAAAUCCCGUAAUCCCGGACGGACUACCGAUGGCGAAAGCACUCUGAGAAGACGGCUUCGACAGUGAGGGACGAAAGCGCGGGUCUCAAACCGGAUUAGAAACCCUAGUAGUCC